rnacentral:rRNA from 1 species
GACGAACGCUGGCGGCGUGCUUAACACAUGCAAGUCGAACGGAAAGGCCCUGCUUUUGUGGGGUGCUCGAGUGGCGAACGGGGGAGUAACACGUGAGUAACCUGCCCUUGACUUUGGGAUAACUUCAGGAAACUGGGGCUAAUACCGGAUAGGAGCUCCUGCUGCAUGGUGGGGGUUGGAAAGUUUCGGCGGUUGGGGAUGGACGCGCGGCUGAUCAGCUUGUUGGUGGGGUAGUGGCUUACCAAGGCUUGGACGGGUAGCCGGCCUGAGAGGGUGACCGGCCACAUUGGGACUGAGAUACGGCCCAGACGCCUACGGGAGGCAGCAGUGGGGAAUAUUGCACAAUGGGCGGAAGCCUGAUGCAGAAACGCCGCGUGCGGGAUGACGGCCUUCGGGUUGUAAACCGCUUUCGCCUGUGACGAAGCGUGAGUGACGGUAAUGGGUAAAGAAGCACCGGCUAACUACGUG